rnacentral:rRNA from 1 species
GAUGAACGCUGGCGGCGUGCCUAAUACAUGCAAGUCGAGCGAACAGACGAGGAGCUUGCUCCUCUGACGUUAGCGGCGGACGGGUGAGUAACACGUGGAUAACCUACCUAUAAGACUGGGAUAACUUCGGGAAACCGGAGCUAAUACCGGAUAAUAUAUUGAACCGCAUGGUUCAAUAGUGAAAGACGGUUUUGCUGUCACUUAUAGAUGGAUCCGCGCCGCAUUAGCUAGUUGGUAAGGUAACGGCUUACCAAGGCAACGAUGCGUAGCCGACCUGAGAGGGUGAUAGGCCACACUGGAACUGAGACACGGUCCAGACUCCUACGGGAGGCAGCAGUAGGGAAUCUUACGCAAUGGGCGAAAGCCUGACGGAGCAACGCCGCGUGAGAGAUGAAGGUCUUCGGAUCGUAAAACUCUGUUAUUAGGGAAGAACAAAUGUGUAAGUAACUAUGCACGUCUUGACGGUACCUAAUCAGAAAGCCACGGCUAACUACGUG